GUUGAUCCUGCGGGAGAUUGCUGCUAUGGGGAUUCGACUAAGCCAUGCAAGUCUUCUAGUAAUAGAGGCAGAAUGCUCAGUAACACGUCGUUAACAUUCCCUCAAGUCAGGGAUACCUUCGGGAAAUUGAAGUUAAUACCUGAUAAGAAAUGAUAUCUGGAAUGAUACUUUUUUUGAACUUAGCUUGAGGAUUGGACGGCGGCUGAUUAGGCAGUUGGUGAGGUAAUGGUUCACCAAACCUUUGAUCAGUAUGGGCCUUGAGAGAGGUAGCCCAGAGAGGGACACUGAGAUACUUGUCCCAGCCCUACGGGGUGCAGCAGGCGCGAAACUUCUACAAUGCACGAAAGUGUGAUAGGGGAAUCCCUGGUGCUUACACUUUGUGUAGGCUUUUGUUAAAGGUAAAUUCUUUGACGAAUAAGUGGUGGGAAAGACCGGUGCCAGCAGCCGCGGUAAUACCGGCGCCACAAGUGGCAAUCACUAUUAUUGGGUCUAAAGCGUUCGUAGCUGGUUUAAUAAAUCUUUUGUGAAAUUGUCUAGCUCAAUUAGUUAAUGUGCAGAAGACACUGUUAAACUAGGGACCGGGAGGGGUUAGAAGUAUUUCAUGGGGAAUGGUAAAAUGUUAUAAUCCUUGAAAGACUACCAAUGGUGAAGGUAUCUAACCAGAACGGAUCCGACAGUGAGGAACGAAGGCCAGGGGAGCGAACCGGAUUAGAUAUCCGAGUAGUCCUGGCAGUAAACGCUGUGAGCUAGGUGUUGCGUAUCUUUUGUGGAUGCGCAGUGUCGAAAGGAAGCUGUUAAGCUCACCACCUGGGAAGUACGGUCGCAAGACUGAAACUUUAAGGAAUUGGCGGGGGAGCACCACAAGGGGUGCGGCGUGCGGUUUAAUCUAAUUCAAUGUAGAAAACCUCACUAGAGGCGACGGCAGAAUGAAGGUUAAUCUGAAGGGUUUACCUGACGAGCCGAGAGGUAGUGCAUGGCCGCCGUCAGCUCGUGCUGUGAAGUGUCCUCUUAAGUGAGGCAACGAGCGAGACCUGUAUCCAUAAUUGCUAACAUGCUUUUAGUGAAUGAGCACAUUAUGGGGACUGCCCUGGAAACAGGGAGGAAGGUGCAGGCUACGGUAGGUCUGUAUGUUUUGAAUUUUUUAGGCUACACGCGCGCAAUAAUGGUUAAGAUAAUGGGUUGUAACUCCGAAAGGAGAAGUUAAUUUUUUAAAUUUAAUCUUAGUCCAGAUCGAGGUUUGUAAUUUAGCCUCGUGACGCCGGAAUCCCUAGUAAUCGGAGUUCAUCAUACUCCGGUGAAUAUGUCCCUGCUCCUUGCACACACCGCCCGUCAUUCCAACCGAGCAGGGUUUAAGUGAAAUUUACUUUUCUUGAGUAAAUUGAACUUAAGCUCAGUGAGGCGGGACAAGUCGUUACAAGGUA
rnacentral:rRNA from 1 species